ACAAACGUGAGAUGGCUGAGUUUGGGGAAAGUGCUUAAAAGGGUGUGGGACCUGAAAUCGGAGAUUGCUGAGUUUUUGCAAAUGAAAGGGAAAAUAUGAGGAUUUCCCACAACUGCAACAUAAAGAAUGGUUGGCUGGUUUUGCCUUUACUGUGGACAUCAUGGACCUCAUGAAUGAUCUGAAUUCCACACUACAAUGGAAGGACCUUUUUGCACAUCAGAUGUACAGCCUUGUCAAAGCCUUCAAGGGAAAAUGUCUCCUCCUGACCCGCCAAGUAGAAGCCAACAAUCUCACCCAAUGUCUGACACUACUAGUCUGUUCCCUAUCAGAUGAUGAGCGGGAGAAGUAUACAUCACUGCGGCGAUACAUCACUGCUGCGUGCUUUGAAAGUGAUUUCUCAGAGCACUGAAAUGCAAUCCAACGGCUCAAAUGGUGCGGAGAUGUGUACGUCACUGACCUGAACGGGCUCCUCUAGGACUCCACUGCAGAUGGGGCACAGCAGGUCCUCAUCCACUUCCCCCUGGAACCGGGUGACGUCGUAGCCCAUGGCACAUCACCGGAACCAACUACAACCUGCAGCACAGCAUCAGUAGAACACUCCUAACUCUCCUCCACCAGUCAUACAAGGAGAAUGGUCUAAUGCCUCCCAUCAAAAAGAGAGCUGGCCCAAGCAAGCACAGGUUACACCUGAGUCAUGAGGACUUGCAAGUGGUGAACUUCAACAACUACGCAGAGGAUAAUGCAAUCGUGUUACCAGGACGCCACCCAGGACACAAAAACACUUUGGUGGAAAGCUGCUGCCAUCCCAUGUGACAAAAGCAGCAGUGUGGCGUCUCUACAAGGAAUCGAUGACAACACUUGAGGUACGUGUAGUCAUACUUCCAGUUUCCAAGAUGAUGUUCUUUCUGUAUGCAGUGCUGCUGCUCUGCACAUUUGUAGGUGCACUAUCCUUCUGACCCUAUGCCAGGUCCCAUUUACUUUUUAACUCCUCGCAAAUCGGGCUUGUUUAGUGUCUGCUGUGAAGGAAUACCACAACAAGUCAACUACUUGAUUGAUGAAGGUAUGUCAUCCAGCAAAGGCAGCAGCGCAGUCAACUACAUGCACCAUUUCUUCACCAACUAGUUGGAGAAAAACACAUGUUGACCUGAAUGGUGAUAACUGCAGUGGCCAAAACAAGAACAAGUUUGUGCUCUGGUAUUGUGCCUGGCGGACCAUUCACAAGCUCCACCACAGUCUGGACCUUCACUUCCUGAUCACAGACCACACCAAGUUUGACCCCGACUGGUGCUUUGGCCUCAUCAAGCAGCUCUUCAGAAAGACCAGAGUGAACACUGUGAGAUUUCUGCUGUUGUGAAGGACAGCACUGUGACAGGGGUCAACAUCCCACAGCUGGUUGGACUGGAGGAUGGUACGGUGCUGGUGGAAAGCUAUGGCUGGCAACAACACCUGACUACAUACUUCAGGCCUCUGCCACAGAUCAAGCAGUAUCAGCGCGUCGGCUUCGAUGCUCUGGAGCCUGGUGUUUUCGCAAAGGAGCGUUCGGACUCAGUCGGGACCAGGUUUCAGCUGUUGCGCAAUGCUGACAUCCUUCCUCCCAUAGAUGGUCUGCCUGUACAAGCACCACCUGGACUGGACACAGCUCGACAGAUCAGGGAGUUUUGUGACGAAAAGGCUAUGGACAUCACAUCUAUUUUGAUAUUGCUACUAUGCAAGUAACCAUUUGGCUGUACCGUUUAUACCCUCUUUAGAGACCCAUCCACUUGGCAAUAUGUGGCUGGGGAUUAUAGCAUUUCUUUCACAUGGCCCAUCAAUUUAGACAAGUGUGUCUGGGUAAGCAUCAUCUAAUUUAUUGUUUACCUGGAUUUUUUAAAUUAAUCUUUACUACACUACUCGCUUUUUAGCACAUGACCUCACAUGUGAAUCCUUAAGAGAAGGGUGGGGCUGGCUGAAGGGGGUGUGAACAAUGCUGAAUGGGUGUCGACAAAGGAGAGCUCUCCAGUAGGUACAAAAACAUUGAAAGAACAUUCUCAAAAGUGAGUUUACAAGUUUAUCAACUUUCAAAGCAUAAUUACUUUCCCAUUAUUCCUCAAAUGCAGUGUAUGAUAUACCAUUUUGUAGCUCUGAGUCUACUUUUAUCCAAUGUAAAAAAUAAAAAAAACAUUUUGCUACAUAAGACCGAUUUGAGUCAGUCAUAUUUACGGUGUGGAUACUUCUUAGGCAUCAGUGCACUUUGAAAU